GCUUACACAUGCAAGUCGAACGAUGAUGCCAGCUUGCUGGCGGAUUAGUGGCGAACGGNUGAGUAACACGUGAGUAACCUGCCCUUAACUCUGGGAUAAGCCUGGGAAACUGGGUCUAAUACCGGAUAUGACUCCUCAUCGCAUGGUGGGGGGUGGAAAGCUUUAUUGUGGUUUUGGAUGGACUCGCGGCCUAUCAGCUUGUUGGUGAGGUAAUGGCUCACCAAGGCGACGACGGGUAGCCGGCCUGAGAGGGUGACCGGCCACACUGGGACUGAGACACGGCCCAGACUCCUACGGGAGGCAGCAGUGGGGAAUAUUGCACAAUGGGCGAAAGCCUGAUGCAGCGACGCCGCGUGAGGGAUGACGGCCUUCGGGUUGUAAACCUCUUUCAGUAGGGAAGAAGCGAAAGUGACGGUACCUGCAGAAGAAGCGCCGGCUAACUACGUGCCAGCAGCCGCGGUAAUACGUAGGGCGCAAGCGUUAUCCGGAAUUAUUGGGCGUAAAGAGCUCGUAGGCGGUUUGUCGCGUCUGCCGUGAAAGUCCGGGGCUCAACUCCGGAUCUGCGGUGGGUACGGGCAGACUAGAGUGAUGUAGGGGAGACUGGAAUUCCUGGUGUAGCGGUGAAAUGCGCAGAUAUCAGGAGGAACACCGAUGGCGAAGGCAGGUCUCUGGGCAUUAACUGACGCUGAGGAGCGAAAGCAUGGGGAGCGAACAGGAUUAGAU
rnacentral:rRNA from 1 species